GUCACUGUCUGAGGUGCAGGUUUGAGUGUGAAUCUGUUUCCUCAUGUAAGGUAAAUCUGUUUUCUCUUGUGAGGUAAAUCUUCCAACCUAAACACAACUCUGUUGUAGGAUGAAACUGUUAACGGUUCUGAAUGAGACUGGCGGGAGGAUGAGACUGGCAGGAGGAUGUCCCUUAUUAGUUAUGCAACAGUUGAAAUUCAUGAGCUCAAUAUUCAUUUCCUUUGUAUGCCAGAAACUUCCUGUGUGACCUUGGAUGAGCUUCCUUUGUCCCAUAUUUCCCACUUAUGAAACAGCCUGAUCAUGUUUCCUUCUUCUUCAUCUUCUGUCUAUUCAGCACAGAUUGUGAAUUCUUCAAGGGAGAAUCCAUCUCCUUCAGGGUCUGUGGAGCACCCUGAUGAUAACAGAAUGAAGUAUAUUGUGUAUUGUUUGGAUGGUGCUUUAGCUCUGUGUUUAAUAAGGAAUGGGAACACUACAGUAAACACUGCAUUUCACUAAUAUAUAUUCACUAAUCCAGGUGAAAGAAUCAUAGACGAGUUGUAGGAAAACAGAACAGAAUUAUUCAGAUGAGAGGUGUGUUUUUAAUACAAUAGUUAAAAUAUAAUACUACCACAAUAUUUAAAAAGAAUGAGCACCCUGUCUGUGCCACUCACUGCCUCUGAGAUGUGGAGAGCAAACAACAUGAAGACAGCAGGAAAAUCGAUCACCUGAUCCAGGUUAUCAAACACUGUGAAAAUUAUUAUUUGCAAGAUUGUUUUCCCAGUAUGUGCUUUCCCAGAAGAUCUUUUUUAUCAGAGGCAGUCAGAAUUUCAUUCUGUUGUUGCUGCUGUCCCCAAGACACACACUGAGAGGCUGCUGGAGUGUGGGAAUCCCUGGCUGCACGUGCACAGAGACUGGGAUGCCAUGUGUUUGCAGCAGAUUGAUAGCAUUAGGGAAAGAGGCUAUUUUUAUCCCUAGGGAUACUGUGGUGCAAGUUAAGAGCACAGAAAUCACAACUCAAGGAGCGUUCAGGUGGUGUGUUACUGUUGCUUUGUAGUAUCCUCAUCUUUCCUUUGCAGAGGUUUAUCUGCACCUUGUUGCUUACCUGGGUGAUCCCUGUUGGGUUGCAGUGUUUGGAGUUCUGCUUAGAGAGAGCUGUUUGUCACAGGCAUGGCUGGAGUUUGCUCCCUGGUGCCAUUCCUCCCUCUGUCAGGUCUCCCAGGUAUCCUUACUCAUCGCAGCGAACUUCUGGCAAAGGUGCUUUUGGCUCCAGAUGUGGCACCCAGCAGUGCCCAGGGUGCAGCAGUGGGGCACUUAGUUUCCACCUGAGAGUGAACUAAAAGUUCAGGGUCUCUCAUUCCCUGGGGAUAAUCCCCUGGGUUGCCCUUGACUCGUUUCAGAGCGCUUGACCCACGCGCUGCCUCUGCCCUGGCAUGUGGAGCGGCCCUGGGUCCUGGGGGAGGGUAAGCAGAUUAGACCAGUCAAUCGUCUCUGGGCUGCAUGUGAUUUGGAAAUGCCAGCCUUACCUCUUUCAGGCCUGGAUUAAGGGAUUUGCCAUAGCAAUUUGUUAAAAUAAAGAGGGAUGAAGCCUAGGUGGCACACUAAUAAAUUGCUUAAAGCUGAUUUUUAUGGAGUGGAAUGAGAUGGGAAAUUAUAAACAAGAUUUGGGUCAUAGCUUUUUGCUGCAUGCUUGUUUUUAAGAGGAUUUUUGGGGGUCCCAUCUAAGUGCAGGUGAAGAGCAAUUUAGAGAUAGCACUGGCUCCAAAUCAGCAUUGCUGCACACCUUGUUGAGCCAGACUGAUAGAAAGCAGUUCAAGAGUCCUCCUGCCAGCAGUUGUUUUGCUCCUGCUUUGCCUUAAGGAAGCAGCAGCAGAAGGUGCAGAGCAGCAGGAUUAGGCUGGGAGUGCUCCAGGCUGAAGGACCCAGGAGUGGUGGGUGUUUGUGUGCUCAGUGCAGCGUAGGAGCAGCUGGGUCCUGUGCCCUGUGCUGGGCAUGGUGCUGUGCUCCCGUGCUCGGGAGCUGCACAGGGAAAUGGAAGCAUAUUGAAAAGGAGGGAUGACCCUGGGAAGGGAAGUUUGACCUGUAUGACCUGACCAGGCAGUUUGAGGGUGAAUGGCUGCAUCACUCUAACUCUGCAGAGGGCUGAAUUUCACUUUUCCUGAGAGAUUCUGCCCGCUUUGUGUUUACUGAGUUGUUCCAAAUUUCUAGAACUUGAUUCAGUUUGGAAGAACAUCAAAGCUGCCAUUUCACUGAAGGCCAGUUCAUUGGAAGAGUGGAAAAAUCAGGUGAAAUUCAGUAGUUCCUUCAAGCCUUUGGUGCACCAAUGCAGUGAGGUGAUAGAGGCAGUCCUUCAGGGAUAACACUUUGGGAAUGUGUUAGCUUAUGAAACUUCAGGGGGAAGUGGAAGUAUUUCUGGGAAUGCUUUCUUUUUUUCCCCCCAGUAAAAGCUAAUUGUACUAAUCUCUGUGGUUGGUACCAGAGCAGCCAUCGCUGUUGUGCCAGGGAAUCCCCUUCCAAUGACUUGGUGGUGCACACAGGAACACUUUGGGGCUCUGUAGAGAGCUGAACAG